UUUAGACAGGUGGCUAGAGUCGCGGUCAUGAUCGUUUCUGUGCGGUGACGUGUGGGGAUUCGGUCCUGCAUUACAUCUGCUGGAUGAAGCUCUGCUGGAAAAGAAAGGAGAAGAUGAAGCACUCAACAUACUGCUCAUUCGGAUGGGUGACAUUCGACAUACUAUCAAAACUCUUUCUAAGCCACAGACACAGAAAACCAAAGUUGAAGGAAAUAGACGCACAGUAUGUUUGUGGUGGAGACAAAAGUGCAUUCUGGCCAACCUAUAAUAGAGGAAUUAGAUGAAGAUGCUAAACUACUAGUGAUCUUGGGGUUGCACAGAGUGAAGGGACAACAGCAAUGUGUGCUGCUG